rnacentral:lncRNA from 1 species
UUGUUUGGUGCUGAUACAACAUUGACUUUUCCCAUAAUUUAGCUUAGAGUGUUUUACACUGGGGAGUUCCAAUGUGUUUAAAUUGUAAAACUUUUUCCGAGCAUUUUUGUAGCAGAACUCCAUGUUCUAAUAGCCCCGGCAAAGUUGUUUUUAAUACUUUUUCUCUACGAAUUUUCAUUAAAAUUUAAUUCCAUUUUAACUUUGUCAAUUUUCCCCAAAGAUAAAUUAAGACACACAGAGAGAUUGUCAUUUCCUGUUUGAAGUCUCAUUCCUGUGUACAAUGUCAGUCUUUUUUAUUUAGGCCUAUGCCAUUCCAUCAGGGUAAAUAACUUUCUAACUAGUCAUUUAAGAGCAACUCCCGGGAAACUGUGAUGCAAUCCCACAUAUCAGCCAGACUUCAAAAGCUGCCAGAUUAUUGUGAAAGGAGAAACACUGUUUUCGAAGGCUGCUGAUAAUGCCUAUUAGCCAGAAGAAAGAGCCUGAAUCAUUCAAAGGUUUUCCAUCUAGUAAAGAAGUGUGGUAAAAAUCUUGCCCAGAUCUGCAUGUGCUAAGCAUCUACGUAAGUUGGAGCAUCAUAUUAAUGACACCCAGUGAAGAAACGAAAGAAUGAAGUGUAAUUACUAUAUCAAAAAUCCACAGAAUGUGAAAGUAUAAAGGAAAACUCUCAGUAAGAUCAAGUAAGUCAUUCCAAACUGUCUGGCGUCCUGUCCCAAAACAUCUCUGAACUUCUCAGUUCAAGAAGUAAGUUCCAGAAUUUAUUUGGCAAAGGUAGCUUAUGUUCACAGUACUGUCUCUGGUUUUCCAGUCUGUCUCCUAGUCAUAGGCCCCUAAAGUCCACCAGCCCUUACACUUCCGGCUGCAUGCUUGCAAAAUCUACUAUGUAGUUCUGAUUUUGUAAUUUUCAUUUCAAUGAGCAUGAAAACUUUUAAUACUGAACGUCCAGAAAAGAUCUUGUUUUCUUUUAUUCCCUUUCCUUUAGGUCAUUUUCUUGUAGUUUUCUUCUUUCAUUCAAUUUUGAUAAGACUUCUUUCUUUGAAAAUGACAUUUAAAAAUAAGGUUAACACACAAGUUAUUACUUUAAUAAAGCACAUAACGUAUACCUUAUAAAAUAUUUUGAAUGCUUUAGAAACUUGUCUUUGCUGCACACAGGCAGAAUGGAGUAAUAUUUUAAGAUUUCCUGCAACUAGAAAGGUAUGGAAAGUCUUACUGAUUUAUAUUGUGUUCUGACUUCCUGAGGCAGUUUUCCUAAUGCUAUUCCAUUUUAGUCAUACCAUGAAACAGAGCUUGCUCAUUUAUUGUGUUUUUUUUUUUUUAAUCAGAAUUCAGUGUAGAACUUUGUAUUUCAGUUUUGUUUGUUGUUUCUUUAGCUUAAUUUCUAUGGAAUUUUAUAGUAAUAGCAGUUUUAUUUUAUAAAAGUUCUCUUGCUGGGAGGAUAAUUCUGUAAGCAUUUGAGAAAAGGAAUUCCCAGUUCAAUUUUCAAAAUUAUUUUCAAAAAUAAAUAACCUGACUAUUUAACAUAUAUAGUGUUCCAGACUUGCAUUUAUUGCCUGUACUAUGUAAUUAAAGAUUUUAUUAUCUAUAGUUACUUGGGAAGACACAUCUUUUACAUCAGUGUUUGUUUCUCAGGACAGGAAACAUUUAUUACGGUUCUUUUGUAUUCCUAAAGUACCAUAGUUCUUUUUUUUUUUUUUUUUUG